CCCAGCCAUGCUGUCUUGGGGCACUCCAGCAGGUGGGCAGAGACUACCCCUGGCUGUGGAUUCCUGGGCAGAGGUCUAGAGAUGGCAGAGUCAAGAGAGAGUUGGCCUGGGGUCCAAAAGCCAAUCCUGGCCUGGGAAGGGCCAGGCCUUGCCCCCAAGUUUCCUGGCUGGGGAAUGGCAGGGCCAGGACCUCUCUACACAGGAAAAACCCAGACUUUUCUGAAAGCUGAGGGUGCCACAUGAAGGGAGAGCCUGGAGUCUGGCACCCCCCAUGACAACUGGCACCCCUGCUGUUUCAGGUGCCAUGAGACCCAUGACAUUGGUGUCCACCAUACCUGUGUUGAGGGAUAAAGCAACAUCACACGGCAUACUCUGAGAUCCACCACAGUGGGCCAGGCCGGAGGCCCCAGCGGCGAGGGUAGGAGUGCAAAGGGCAGGUCUUGCCCUGGUUCCACCUCUGCCUUCCUUGCCGGUGACCUAAGGCCAGGUCUAGCAAACAAGCUGAAAAAGGCAACCUGGAAUCUUCAUGGUGUGGAGAGAGAGAGCAGCUCUGGGGCUUUAUUGACCCAGGAGCCCAGUAAGGCACAGGCACUUCAUGAUCUGCUGCCAUGCAGGAGGUGGCAUAGGUGAGCUGUUGCUCUGGGAAGAGCAGACUUCGAAGCCAGACUUCACUGCCACCCCACAGCCUGACAGGAAAUAUGUCGAGGGAGAUGUGUACCCACGUGAACCUUGGAUCCCAAGCAGCUUCUUCCCACUGGAGCCCAUGAGGAUGCUGCACAGCCCCAAGAGAGGGGAACUGGCUAGCCAAAGGGUCAGAGGCAAGGAAGCAGUGUGGUCCUUGAGCUUCCUGCCUCCUUCAAAACCUGAGACUGUACAGCGUGGAAGACAGUGUACCUGAAGCCAACCACAAGAGCAGGCUGGUGUGCCAGGAGGCAGGUGUGCAUAGCACAUCUUCCAUGUGGCUGGCCUGGAUCACACAGGAUACCAUGGUCCCCCUGUUAGGAGCCUGGAGCUCCUUCCAGAAGGUCCAAAAGGGUGCAAGGAAAGUGUGGACUUCGGCAGGACUGAAUGCUAGUGGGGUAGCAGCAGUGCUAAAGCGGUCCCUGGAGCAGCCUCUUGACUAUUGGACCUAACGCUCUCCCUCACUUCCAGGAACUGUGUCAAAGCCAUCAGUCACCAUGUCACUUUGCAAAGGUCUGUCCUCUGGACCUUUAGUCCUGGAACCAGCAGGCAGUCAACACCCACCUCUUCCAGAGUGACCCAGAAGAUAAGCCAGGCUGUGGAGUAGAUGCAGUGCAAUCCUGGCCUCGGGGAAGUGUUCAUGGAGGCUGCCCACAUUCUCAAGCCAACACCGCAGGGUGGCCUCACACUCUUCAUCCUGCAGGGCAUCUCCCAUGCGUCUCCUUGGGCCAGGGCAGCAGCUCCACCUCCUCUGCCAGUGGCAGCACAGAUCCCACUCUCUACAGCUCCACCUCUGUGCACGUGAGAAUCCUUUGGGCACCACGAAUCCCCGAGGGGGGCUCUGCCCAGAUAGAGGUCUGUCCCCAGCUCCCUUUUCCCUUCCUAGGGACCCAACUCUCAUCCCCACCCCCUUAUGGACUGGGCCCAUCCCUGGCACCUCUCCCAGGGUGGGGGCAGCAGUGCCCUUUGACCCUCUUGGGAGCUGCCCUGACCUGCAGGCCCUUGGUGGCUCACUGCAAGAGCAGCCAUGCACAGAAGCUAUGCAGGCCGAGGCCAGACCUCCUGACCAAAUAGGGACAGGGCCUGGUUCUCUCCCGGUGAACUCGCCAUCCAUCCUCCUAAUUUGUCCUCACGAGGUGGCCAUCCAUCAUAAUGACUGACAUCCUCAUGGACGUCAUCAGCAGGCUGGUUGACCUCUCCGGCUCUGCCUCCCCCGAGACCAUGCCCAUGUGUGAUCAUGUCCACUAACCCCCUCCUCUGUGGGCCCUGGCCCCGCCUUUCUCCCCCUAUUUGCCCCACCUGGCCCCACCCUCCGCACCUAGCUCCACCCCUCUGGCCUUGCCCACUGCCCUCCCCCACCCACCAGUCCCCAUGAGCCUGCUCAUCCCCAGGACUUGAUUGUGACAUCAAGGACAUCAACAUCUCAAAGUUGAUCUGGCUGGUGCGGCAACCUCGUUCAGGAAGGUGCUGAUGAGGCACAGUACCAGCUUGUGACUCUGGCUCUGCGGCAGUGCCUGCAAGGAGAGCAGCUGUGACUGUGUGAGCAGACAGGGAUAGGCCUUGCAGACAUCACCAUGGUGACUGUGAGGCCCUUCCCCCAACACGAACCCCCAAACCACGAGCCUGUGUAUCUGAACCCGUGGGCUAAGCGCAGGGAAUCCAGCCACUGCCCGUGACCUGCUCAGUUCUGGCCCCCUGAGGCAGGCAUGAGGUGGACUUUGGGGGACCAGGUGAUACCACCAGUUGGGACAUGGCUUUAGGGCCCUGGAAGUGAGGAGCUGGUCUGUGGGACUCUCCAACAGGCCCUAUUCCUCAGGUCUCUUCCCUGAGGACUGAAGGCUGUGACCAAUGACACUGGUGAACUUGUGUGUGCCACAAGUCCAGAUACCCUUGAGUGGGCUUGUGUGUGACAUGAGUGACAGGCUGUGCACCUGACCUGACUAUGCCAGUGUUGGCUCAGGUCUCCAGUGUAUGAGGGGCCCUGUCACCGUCACAUGUGGACAUGGCUGUGGAAUGAGCAUAUGUGCUAGGGCAAGCCCAUGUGACCCUGAGCCCAGCCCUCUGGGUGCCAAGGGUGUGGCUCAUGUGUGUGACAGGUGACAGGGUGUGACGUCACUGGCCUGUGGUGCUGGAAGCACUCCCCCAUCACAGCAAUAUCUCCAGUAAAGCUCUGUGUUUUCAA